rnacentral:rRNA from 1 species
GAUGAACGCUAGCGGCAGGCCUAAUACAUGCAAGUCGAACGGUAACAGGUCCUUCGGGACGCUGACGAGUGGCGGACGGGUGCGUAACGCGUAUGCAACCUACCUUUCAAUGGGGGAUAGCCUGGAGAAAUUCAGAUUAACACCGCAUAAGACCACGCCAUCGCAUGAUGAAGUGGUUAAAUAUUUAUAGUUGAAAGAUGGGCAUGCGUGACAUUAGUUAGUUGGUGAGGUAAUGGCUCACCAAGACUUCGAUGUCUAGCUGGUCUGAGAGGAUGAUCAGCCACACUGGCACUGAGACACGGGCCAGACUCCUACGGGAGGCAGCAGUAGGGAAUAUUGGACAAUGGACGCAAGUCUGAUCCAGCCAUGCCGCGUGGAGGAAGACGGCCCUCUGGGUUGUAAACUUCUUUUCUACAGGAAUAAACGAUCGGUAUAUUCGGUUCUGAAUGUACUGUAGGAAUAAGCACCGGCUAACUCCG